rnacentral:rRNA from 1 species
GGACUACCAGGGUAUCUAAUCCUGUUUGAUACCCACACUUUCGUGCCUCAGUGUCAGAUUCGGUACGGCAUGCUGCCUACGCUAUCGGAGUUCUUCGUGAUAUCUAUGCAUUUCACCGCUACACCACGAAUUCCGCAUACCUCCACCGAUCUCAAGUUCCGCAGUUUCGACGGCAAUUUUCCCGUUAAGCGGAAAGAUUUCACCGCCGACUUACUGAACCACCUACGCACCCUUUAAACCCAAUAAAUCCGGAUAACGCUCGCAUCCUCCGUAUUACCGCGGCUGCUGGCAC